UACAGAGGUCUCAAGCGUUGUUCGGAUUCAUUGGGCGUAAAGGGUGCGUAGGCGGCGCGGUAAGUCGGGUGUGAAAACUCUGGGCUCAACCCAGAGCCGCCACCCGAUACUGCUGUGACUUGAGUGCGGUAGGGGAGCGGGGAAUUCCUGGUGUAGCGGUGAAAUGCGCAGAUAUCAGGAGGAACACCAGUGGCGAAGGCGCCGCUCUGGGCCGUGACUGACGCUGAGGAGCGAAAGCGUGGGUAGCAAACAGG
rnacentral:rRNA from 1 species